GCACAGGCAAGGGUGAAAGGGUGCGGUAAGAGCGCACCGGGCCGCUGGCAACAGGGGCCGCAUGGCAAACCCCACCCGGAGCAAGGCCGAAUAGAGGACGAGGAGUCGCCCGCUCCGCCCGAGUCCAGGGUAGGCCGCACGAGGCCGGCAGCGAUGCCGGUCCCAGAUAAAUGAUCCUCCCCCGUCUUCGGGCGGGGACAGAACUCGGCUUAUUCCGUGCGCUCCGCC
rnacentral:RNase_P_RNA from 1 species